CCUUCGGUAGCUCAGUUGGUAGAGCGGUGGACUGUAGUGUAAAUAUCCAUGGUUAUCCAUAGGUCGCUGGUUCAAAUCCGGCCCGAAGGA
rnacentral:tRNA from 1 species